AGAGUUUGAUCAUGGCUCAGAACGUACGCUGGCGGCACGCCUAACACAUGCAAGUCGAGCGGGGUAGCAAUACCUAGCGGCAGACGGGUGCGUAACAUGUGGGAAUCUGCCUUUUGGUUCGGAACAACAUGGGGAAACCUGUGCUAAUACCGGAUAAGUCCUAACGGAGAAAGUUUUAAUGCCAAAAGAUGAGCACGCAUUUGAUUAGCUUGUUGGUGAGGUAAAAGCUCACCAAGGCUAUAAUCAAUAGCUGAUUUGAGAGGAUGAUCAGCCACACUGGGACUGAGAUACGGCCCAGACUCCUACGGGAGGCAGCAGUGGGGAAUCUUGCACAAUGGGCGAAAGCCUGAUGCAGCGAUGCCGCGUGAGUGAAGAAGGCCUUUGGGUUGUAAAGCUCUUUUGUCGGGAAAGAUAAUGACUGUACCCGAAGAAUAAGGUCCGGCUAACUUCGUGCCAGCAGCCGCGGUAAUACGAAGGGACCUAGCGUAGUUCGGAAUUACUGGGCGUAAAGAGUAUGUAGGCGGCUAGAUAAGUUAAUUGUGAAAGCCCAAAGCUUAACUUUGGAACUGCAAUUAAAACUAUUUAGCUGGAGUAUGAUAGAGGAAAGCGGAAUACAUAGUGUAGAGGUGAAAUUCGUAGAUAUUAUGUAGAACACCAGUUGCGAAGGCGGCUUUCUGGAUCAUUACUGACGCUGAGAUACGAAAGUAUGGGUAGCGAAGAGGAUUAGAUACCCUCGUAGUCCAUACCAUAA
rnacentral:rRNA from 2 species